rnacentral:rRNA from 1 species
CGCUGGCGGCGUGCUUAACACAUGCAAGUCGAACGAUGAACCACUUCGGUGGGGAUUAGUGGCGAACGGGUGAGUAACACGUGGGCAAUCUGCCCUGCACUCUGGGACAAGCCCUGGAAACGGGGUCUAAUACCGGAUACUGACCAUCGCAGGCAUCUGUGAUGGUCGAAAGCUCCGGCGGUGCAGGAUGAGCCCGCGGCCUAUCAGCUUGUUGGUGAGGUAAUGGCUCACCAAGGCGACGACGGGUAGCCGGCCUGAGAGGGCGACCGGCCACACUGGGACUGAGACACGGCCCAGACUCCUACGGGAGGCAGCAGUGGGGAAUAUUGCACAAUGGGCGAAAGCCUGAUGCAGCGACGCCGCGUGAGGGAUGACGGCCUUCGGGUUGUAAACCUCUUUCAGCAGGGAAGAAGCGAAAGUGACGGUACCUGCAGAAGAAGCGCCGGCUAACUACGUGCCAGCAGCCGCGGUAAUACGUAGGGCGCAAGCGUUGUCCGGAAUUAUUGGGCGUAAAGAGCUCGUAGGCGGCUUGUCACGUCGGUUGUGAAAGCCCGGGGCUUAACCCCGGGUCUGCAGUCGAUACGGGCAGGCUAGAGUUCGGUAGGGGAGAUCGAAUUCCUGGU